rnacentral:rRNA from 1 species
UCGGGAAUCUUGGACAAUGGGCGCAAGCCUGAUCCAGCCAUGCCGCGUGAAUGAUGAAGGCCUUAGGGUUGUAAAAUUCUUUCGUCGGGGACGAUAGUGACGGUACCCGAAGAAGAAGCUCCGGCUAACUUCGUGCCAGCAGCCGCGGUAAUACGAAGGGGGCUAGCGUUGUUCGGAAUUACUGGGCGUAAAGCGCGUGUAGGCGGGCCGUUAAGUCGGGGGUGAAAGCCCAGAGCUCAACUCUGGAAUUGCCUUCGAUACUGGCGGCCUGGAGCAUGAUAGAGGCGAGUGGAAUUGCGAGUGUAGAGGUGAAAUUCGUAGAUAUUCGCAGGAACACCAGUGGCGAAGGCGACUCGCUGGAUCAUUGCUGACGCUGAGACGCGAAAGCGUGGGGAGCAAACA